AGAGUUUGAUCCUGGCUCAGGACGAACGCUGGCGGCGUGCCUAACACAUGCAAGUCGAACGAAGUAUAUUUUCGGAUAUGCUUAGUGGCGGACGGGUGAGUAACGCGUGAACAAUCUGCCCUGUACACAGGAGUAGCCUCGGGAAACUGGGAUUAAAACCGGAUAACACUUUCUGGCCGCAUGGCCGGGAAGUCAAAUUGAUUUAGAGGUACAGGAUGAGUUCGCGUCUGAUUAGCUAGUUGGUGAGGUAACGGCUCACCAAGGCGACGAUCAGUAGCCGGCCUGAGAGGGUGAACGGCCACACUGGAACUGAGACACGGUCCAGACUCCUACGGGAGGCAGCAGUGGGGAAUAUUGCACAAUGGAGGAAACUCUGAUGCAGCGACGCCGCGUGAGUGAAGAAGGUCUUCGGAUCGUAAAACUCUGUCCUUGGUGACGAAAAAAAUGACGGUAGCCAAGGAGGAAGCCCCGGCUAACUACGUGCCAGCAGCCGCGGUAAUACGUAGGGGGCGAGCGUUGUCCGGAUUUACUGGGCGUAAAGGGUGAGUAGGCGGUAAUAUGUGUCAGAUGUAAAAGGCUAUGGCUUAACCAUAGUUGGCAUUUGAAACUGUAUUACUUGAGUGCAGGAGAGGUAAGUGGAAUUCCUAGUGUAGCGGUGAAAUGCGUAGAUAUUAGGAGGAACACCAGUGGCGAAGGCGACUUACUGGACUGUAACUGACGCUGAGUCACGAAAGCGUGGGUAGCAAACAGGAUUAGAUACCCUGGUAGUCUACGCUGUAAACGAUGAGUGCUAGGUGUUGGGUAGCGAUAUUCAGUGCCGAAGUAAACACAAUAAGCACUCCGCCUGGGGAGUACGGUCGCAAGACUGAAACUCAAAUGAAUUGACGG
rnacentral:rRNA from 1 species